AUAACCGUCGUUAUAUGUUAUUUGCCUUAAAAAAUUAAAAAAAAAAAAGCCGAUAAAAGGAAUCAAGGUAACGCGCAAUCCCUAACCACUCACAUUCCUUAUCUUCUUCUUCAAUUUUCACGAAUUACAAUCACAACGACUCACUCAGUCACACACACCAGCCCUAACCCUACCUAAGCUAUCAAACGCCAAUGACGCUGCCGCUGUCAAAUCGAUUCAAGUGCUCCGGCGCUGAGUCUAGCCGUCCUUGAGCCGAUUUGCUUCCUUUUUCUACCGCCGCUGUCAAUCUCUGCCAUUCUUGAGCCGAUUCACUUCCGCAAAACAGCUGCUGUCAUCUCUGCCGACAUUGCCUCUGUGUUCGUUCACCGUCAGAUGCAGGGUUAUUGUGGUGACACUGCCUCCGCUGUCAAGUCAGUUCAAAUUUUCUGGGUGCUAUCUUGAAAAUGUUGGUGAGAUUGUUGCCAAUGAUUUUCUAAAAUUUUGAAUUCAGGGUUAUUGUUUCACCACUGUGAGUUGCUUUCUCCAUUUUUGCAAUUCUUUCCUCUUAAUUUGCUUUGAAAUAUUUGCUCGUUGGAUUUAUUUCCUCUUCAUUUAUAAUCGAUUAGGUGAUUUUGUGAUGUGUAGCUUGUACCUUAGUCUCUUCUUUUCCUUUCAUAAUAUUAUAAAAUAUGUCGUGCACUUUGGCCUUUCGUUUCUUGAUUUUCUUGGUUAAUGAAUUUGGAAAAAGAGUGAAUUAUGGGUAAGAGGAUAGAAAAUCACAUUGACAGAAAAGAGGACUGAAACGCCCUGAUUUUUACUAAGUGGAGUUUACUUAUUUGUUAAAAAAAUAAAUUUUAAAUUAUUAAUGAUUUAAUUGUCUUAUGCUUAUUAUAUUGUUCGUAAAAUUUUUGUUACAAGUCCAGCCCAUGAACCUCUUUAUAUUUUAGCAUUUCUUUAUUUAUUUACGAAACGAAAACCAGCGUUCGGAUUCAAAAGGAACAAAACAGAAAAAGGAAGAAAGGAAACAAGAGGAUAACAGGACGUGAGAGAGGAGAAGAGGGAGAAAGAAGAGAAAGACAAGAGAGGCUAGGUGAAGGAUCUGGAUUUAAAGAAAGAGAAUUCAAUUUCAGAGCAAAAUAUUAAAUAUCUGGCUUUUUGAAUUUGUAAGCCUUCUUUCUCAGUUCACUUUAUUCUUUUAUUUUUCUUCAAAAUUCUUGUUUAAAUUGGCAUGCCUGUUGAUGUUGUUAAGUCAUUUCUAAAUUAACUUGCAUGCAUGAUUAAAAUUCUGUUUAUUUAGGUAUUAUGUCAUUGAAAUUAGUCUCUUUUCCCAUGCUUGUUUCAAGUUCCAAUUCUUAUUUGAAAAAAAAAAAAAAAUUCGCUGUUUGUGCCAUAAUCUGUUUUGGGUAUUAAAGUUGAUACUACCUAGCAAAUUCUAAACUGUAAUGGCUGAUUUCUUCUCUUAUUUUUGUUUAAUCUAUUCAAAUUCAUGUAUAAAUUUUACAGGCGUUAGAUAUUUGUCUAAUUAUCAUGUAUGUGUUAAAUUCAUUUUGGGUGAAUUUUCAUACUAUUUAAUCAAGUUCAAAGUUACAUGGGUUUGGCCAAUUAUCACAUAAUCUCUUCUUUGACUAAUUGAUUAGAUUUUUGUUCAUGCGUGGCUUAAUUAAUUUCAAAAUCUUCUUACUUAUAAAGCAUUAAUAUCUUUUGCAAUUAAAUUCUCUAAAUUUUCCUGGCUGCUGUAUGAACAACUCUAGUUUUUUUUCCUUAAAUAAAUUUGUUUGAAUUCUAAUUAAUACUUUAAUUUAAUGGAUUAUAAUUUAAAUCUUGCAGCAGAUUAUAAUUUAUGGUGCUAAUGGUAUUUUUUUUAUUUAAUCCAUUGUUUUGUUCUUCAGGCUAUUGAUCCUAGGACUUGCAUGGUUUUAUUCAAAAUGCUAAAUUGGGUUGUAUUCCAGUGGCUGUAUUUUGACGGGAAAAGAAGUAUGUAGUGCUACUCUUCUUUUUUAUUUUUUUGAUUUUAUUGUCAUUAUUAUGUAGCUUAACGGCAACCCAAUUCUCUCCCUACCCUUGUGAGUGUGGUCAAACCCCAAACAAAUGAAGAAGUUUUCUGGUUUUAUGUCUUAAAUAGAGUGCCUGUAAAUAUAAAAUCGAGAUUGAGCUAAUGAGUGAAAAUGGUGAUACUUGGAUUUUUUGAGGCUCUGCUUUUUUUUCUUUACUUUAAAAGCUAAUUUGUUUAGCUUUACCUUUGAUUUGAAUUUUUUGUUUCUGUUCUUUGCAGCCAACCAAUGAAGAUGGUGAUAAUCGGGCUCCAAUAAAUAUUGAUUUAAUAGGAACCACAUUGGUAAGCCUAGUUGCAAGACAAGAACUACUUUGCAAAGCAUGCUAUGUGUAUAAUUCUGAGCAUUAAGGAUUCAGUUUCUGAAGGGCAAGCUUGCUGGCUGGGUAUAAAUGUUCCAAGUGCCAAUCCCACCUUAUGUAAGCACAAAAUAUAGUCUCCAUUUCCUUUUUGGAUUAUAUUUGUUUGUAUAGUUAUAUGAUACUGGAUUUUAAUUUAAGAAUUUGUGCAGUACAUUUUUUUACUGUUAGGAGUUAGUUUGAUCAAGGUUAUUUAAGUACUAAACUGUUAUAAUUGAGCUUGCAUGCAUUUAAAUUUUUUUAUAUGUAAAUGACAAUUAUAUCAAUGUGUAAUGUAAAUUGAAAUUUGCCAAUGUGGCUUCAAUUGGACAGUUUAGAAUGUGAAAACAACUAUCUAAAUUUUAAUUUAAAAAAACAAUUGAAGUAUAGU
rnacentral:lncRNA from 1 species